CUAACACAUGCAAGUCGAACGGAGGAAUCGAGAAAGCUUGCUUUUUUGAGGAAUCAGUGGCGAACGGGUGAGUAACACGUAGGUAACCUGCCCAGAUCACGGGGAUAACGGUUGGAAACGACAGCUAAGACCGGANNNGUGGUGACGAGGCAUCUUGUCAUCAUGAAAAGAGCUGAAAGGCUCUGGAGCUGGAUGGACCUGCGGCGCAUUAGCUAGUUGGUGAGGGUAACGGCCCACCAAGGCGAUGAUGCGUAGCCGGCCUGAGAGGGUGCACGGCCACAUUGGGACUGAGACACGGCCCAAACUCCUACGGGAGGCAGCAGUAGGGAAUUUUCGUCAAUGGGGGGAACCCUGAACGAGCAAUGCCGCGUGAGUGAAGAAGGUCUUCGGAUCGUAAAGCUCUGUUGUAAGAGAAAAAGGGCGCAUAUAGGAAAUGAUAUGCGAUUGAUGGUAUCUUACCAGAAAGCCACGGCNAACUACGUGCCAGCAGCCGCGGUAAUACGU
rnacentral:rRNA from 1 species